rnacentral:tRNA from 1 species
GAGGGUAUAGCUCAGGGGUAGAGUGCCUGCUUAGCAUGCAUGAGGUCCUGGGUUCAAUCCCCAGUCCCUCCA